ensembl:lncRNA
CAGGCUGUACUACAUGUUUUUGUACAUUGUUUACAGUUCCUAUGCUGAACACAUACUGUGUUGAAUUCUGUACAGAGUGGAAAGGCAAAGACAUCAUGGAGGACGAGGACACUUGUUCACAGAUGUACAAGAGACUGCAAUUAUAAAUAUGGUUUUGGCCAACAAUGCAAUUAGUCAUCCUCUAUGAUAACAGUAUUGGAGUAUUGGAACUGGAUGCCCGUGUAAUUCACCAUUAAUUUAUUUAUGUGGAUGAGGUUGGCUUCAACCUCACCAAAACCAGGCGCCGCGGAAGAAAUGUAAUAGGACAGAGGGCAAUGACCAAUGUCCCUGGACAGCGUGGGGGUAAUAUAACUAUGUGUGCUGCCAUCACUCAAAACGGGGUCCUCCGUCACAACGCCACACUGGGUCCGUACAACACCGGCCAUAUGCUCACUUUUCUGGAUGCUGAUAGAUUUGUGGGACUUUAUGGGACAAUGUUAGUUUUCACCGGGCUGUUCUGGUCCAAAACCGGUUUGCCACCCCUCCACAAUGUGUAGUUUUGUACCUACCCCCAUAUUCACCUUUUCUAAAGCCCAUAGAGGAAUUCUUCUCAGCCCGGCGCUGGAAAGUGUAUGAUCGCCAACCCUAUGCCCGCAUGCCGCUUCUCCAGGCAAUGGAGGACGAAUGUGGGGACAUAGAGGUUGCCUCUGUCCAAGGUUGGAUACGCCAUGCUAGGAGAUACUUCCCUCCAUGUGGGGACAUAGAGGUUGCCUCUGUCCAAGGUUGGACACGCCAUGCUAGGAGAUACUUCCCUCCAUGUGGGGACAUAGAGGUUGCCUCUGUCCAAGGUUGGACACGCCAUGCUAGGAGAUACUUCCCUCGAUGUUUGGCAAGAGAAAACAUAUCUUGUGAUGUGGACAAAGUAUUGUGGCCAGACCCAGGCCGGAGAAGAG